rnacentral:misc_RNA from 1 species
GAUGAAGAACGCAGCGAAAUGCGAUAAGUAAUGUGAAUUGCAGAAUUCAGUGAAUCAUCGAAUCUUUGAACGCACAUUGCGCCCCCUGGUAUUCCGGGGGGCAUGCCUGUUCGAGCGUCAUUUCACCACUCAAGCCUCGCUUGGUAUUGGGCAACGCGGUCCGCCGCGUGCCUCAAAUCGACCGGCUGGGUCUUCUGUCCCCUAAGCGUUGUGGAAACUAUUCGCUAAAAGGUGUUCGGGAGGCUACGCCGUAAAACAACCCCAUUUCUAAGGUUGACCUCGGAUCAGGUAGGGAUACCCGCUGAACUUAAGCAUAUCAAUAAGCGGAGGA